rnacentral:rRNA from 1 species
UACGUAGGGUGCAAGCGUUGUCCGGAAUUAUUGGGCGUAAAGAGCUCGUAGGCGGCUUGUCACGUCGGCUGUGAAAACCUGGGGCUCAACCCCGGGCCUGCAGUCGAUACGGGCAGACUAGAGUGUGGUAGGGGAGACUGGAAUUCCUGGUGUAGCGGUGAAAUGCGCAGAUAUCAGGAGGAACACCGGUGGCGAAGGCGGGUCUCUGGGCCAUAACUGACGCUGAGGAGCGAAAGCGUGGGGAGCGAACAGG